ensembl:snRNA U7 U7 small nuclear RNA
AAGUGUUACAACUCUUUUAGAAUCUGUCUAGCAAAUUUCCUAGCGGGAAACCU